AGUGAACGCUGGCGGUAGGCCUAACACAUGCCAGUCGAACGGCAGCACAGUAAGAGCUUGCUCUUACGGGUGGCGAGUGGCGGACGGGUGAGGAAUACAUCGGAAUCUACUUUUUCGUGGGGGAUAACGUAGGGAAACUUACGCUAAUACCGCAUACGACCUACGGGUGAAAGCAGGGGAUCUUCGGACCUUGCGCGAUUGAAUGAGCCGAUGUCGGAUUAGCUAGUUGGCGGGGUAAAGGCCCACCAAGGCGACGAUCCGUAGCUGGUCUGAGAGGAUGAUCAGCCACACUGGAACUGAGACACGGUCCAGACUCCUACGGGAGGCAGCAGUGGGGAAUAUUGGACAAUGGGCGCAAGCCUGAUCCAGCCAUACCGCGUGGGUGAAGAAGGCCUUCGGGUUGUAAAGCCCUUUUGUUGGGAAAGAAAAGCAGCAGGUUAAUACCCCGCUGUUCUGACGGUACCCAAAGAAUAAGCACCGGCUGACUUCGUG
rnacentral:rRNA from 1 species